CCUACGGGGGGCAGCAGUGAGGAAUAUUGGUCAAUGGCCGGAAGGCUGAACCAGCCAUGCCGCGUGAAGGUCAGUGCCCUAUGGGCGUUAAACUUCUUUUGUGCGGGAGCAAUAAUGGUCACGUGUGGCCAGACGAGAGUACCGUGAGAAUAAGCAUCGGCUAACUCCGUGCCAGCAGCCGCGGUAAGACGGGGGAUGCAAGCGUUAUCCGGAGUUAUUGGGUUUAAAGGGUGCGUUGGCUGUGAGGUAAGUCAGCGGUGAAAUGCCCCGGCUCAACGGGGUGGAGUGCCAUUGAUACUGCCUGGCUGGAAUGCGGAUGCCGUAGGAGGAAUGUGUGGUGUAGCGGUGAAAUGCAUAGAUAUCGCACAGAACACCGAUUGCGAAGGCAUCACACGAAUCCGCGAUUGACGCUGAUGCACGAAAGCGUGGGUAUCAAACAGGAUUAGAUACCCUAGUAGUC
rnacentral:rRNA from 1 species